rnacentral:rRNA from 1 species
UACAGAGGUGGCAAGCGUUGUUCGGAAUUACUGGGCGUAAAGGGCGCGUAGGCGGUCUUGUCAGUCCCUUGUGAAAUCCCCCGGCUCAACUGGGGAACUGCACGGGAAACAGCAGGGCUUGAGUUCGGGAGAGGGAAGCGGAAUUCCGGGUGUAGCGGUGAAAUGCGUAGAUAUCCGGAGGAACACCGGUGGCGAAGGCGGCUUCCUGGACCGACACUGACGCUGAGGCGCGAAAGCUAGGGGAGCAAACGGG